rfam:Schistosoma haematobium scaffold105_13, whole genome shotgun sequence.
AUUCAACUGAUAAGUCUCAAAUAGGACGAAACACGCGUCUUGAAU